GUUAACAAGGACACAGUAACGAACGUUCCAGGGCGGCCGCGGAGACAGAAAGUAAACCGAAGGGCUGGCAGCCGGCCCUCCUCACAGAUGGGGACUUCGUCCUCCCGGCGGGGGCAAGGGACGUCUCCCAAGACCCCCGGGCUACGGCCUGCCAGCGCGUCCGCCUAAGCUGAUGUCAACCUAAUACACAUUGGAACUCCGACCCGUAGAAAUACAGUCUAGAGCUCGCAGAGAAUAUGCGCCAAAAGGACAUGGACAUCUUUGGGUCCACAGUGCAGCUCACCACAAGAAGUCGAGGACAAAGGCAGAAAAGAGGAAGCUUCUGCUGACAAAUGCCCUGUUUGCCAGACAGAGCAUGGAAUGGUGGAGGAGCAAACAGAGAAGUAGAGGGAGAAACUUAAGCAGAUGCCAUGUUCAGUGUGGAGCCCCAGUUGGGUCGUGAUCAUGACUGAGCUAAAAUCAAGACUCCAUCUGAGUUGCCCAUGUGCCCCUCUAAUAUUUUAUUUAUAUUAUAUUUUAUUAUAAUAUCUGCAAAUAAUUAGUUUCCUUUCUACUCCUUGUUUAAUUAUUGUUUCCUUGCACUGGCUAAAAUCCAU